CCCUCCGUCCCUCCCCUCCCGCCCCGCUAUCUGUCUUUAUUCCCACUCCGGGGCACCGCCGGGGAGGAGCUGCCGGCGCUCCGGCGGCGGCGCCGCGCCCCCACAGGCUUCCCGCCCGCCGCGGGGGUGCGGGGACGGGGGGGGCGCCGGCCGGACCCCUCCUUCCCUCCGGGGCUUCCUCUUCCCUUUCCCCUUCCCGGUGAGGACCGUGCUCGCCCUGGGCUCCGUGCGGGGCUCCCCCGCCGCGCUGCCUCUCUCCUUCCCUCCCCCGGGUCCGUGAGGGAGCGCCCUCGCCGCAGCACCUCUGUCAGGGGCAGCGUUACAGCGGCCGCUCGGCGGAGGCAGGGUUUCCCAAAAAAGGCCGGCGAGCCGUGCCCUGCUCCCUCGGAAAGCCAUCGAGGUAGCCCCGGGACGCGCGGGAGUUAAAGCGAGUAGGCCUUUUAAGGAGUCUGGUAGCACAAAAGGGGAUGAUGGAUGGUCCUGCCUUUAGGAAGGAGCCCGAGUGGAUUCUGGGAGGAGAAGGGGAGGCGUUAAAUGAAGUUCCCCAACUAUUCUGGUUUUGAUCAUAUAUUUAGAAGUGAGACUCAUUUGAUACAAGUGGGAUGGAAAGUCACCAAGCCGAGCUGUCAGAGUCCUGGAGAGUAAAACCUUCUUCUGCUAUGCAUCAUAGGCAAGGGCAGGCCAUGGUGUGGGCUGAGAUGGGAAGGAAAUCCUCCGCUCAACUACUGACCUGACUUGAAAACUGUGUGAUACUGCUGAGUGACAGGCUGGCUGAGUUGCUUCACUCUUCAUUUCCUGGAGACGAUU